CGCAUUACGAGGAUGGUGACUGGAGCGGCUAAGAGGGAGCUUGGAGCAUUCCGCUUACGCAGCAUGGAGAGUGCGGCUGCAGCUAUAACAGACGAUGAAGAAUCUUAUAAGUUGUGGCAUAAGAGGAUGGGACAUCCUGCUGCUAAAGUUGUUUGCUCACUUCCUGAUGUUUCUAGUUCAGUUAGUUCUGUUUUUCUCAAUAAGGCGUGUGAUGUUUGUCUCCGCGCAAAGCAAAC
rnacentral:lncRNA from 1 species